rnacentral:rRNA from 1 species
AGGGAAUAUUGGACAAUGGGGGGAACCCUGAUCCAGCCAUGCCGCGUGGAGGAAGACUGCCCUCUGGGUUGUAAACUCCUUUUAUAUGGGAAGAACCGUCCUCAUUGAUGAGUGACCUGACGGUACCAUAGGAAUAAGCACCGGCUAACUCCGUGCCAGCAGCCGCGGUAAUACGGAGGGUGCAAGCGUUAUCCGGAUUCACUGGGUUUAAAGGGUGCGUAGGCGGAUAUGUAAGUCAGUGGUGAAAUCAACGGGCUCAACCUGUUAACUGCCAUUGAUACUGUGUAUCUUGAAUAUGAGAGAGGUAGGCGGAAUGUUGCAUGUAGCGUUGAAAUGCUUAGAUAUGCUACGGAACACCGAUUGCGAAGGCAGCUUACUAUUUCGUAAUUGACGCUGAGGCACGAAAGCGUGGGUAGCGAACA